CGGAAGGAUCAUUACUGAGAGUACCGGGCUCUGCCUGGCUACUUUUACCCAUGUUUUUAUAGUACCAAAAGUUUCCUCGGCGGCUCUGCCCGCCGGUCGGACUCCAUUCAAACCCUUUGUAGUUGCAGUCAGCGUCUGAUAAACAUAAUAAUUACAACUUUCAACAACGGAUCUCUUGGUUCUGGCAUCGAUGAAGAACGCAGCGAAAUGCGAUAAGUAGUGUGAAUUGCAGAAUUCAGUGAAUCAUCGAAUCUUUGAACGCACAUUGCACCUCUCGGUAUUCCGGGAGGUAUGCCUGUUCGAGCGUCAUUUGUACCCUCAAGCUCUGCUUGGUGUUGGGUGUUUGUUCCGCCUUUGCGUGUGAACUCGCCUUAAAACAAUUGGCAGCCGGCGUACUUGCUUCGGAGCGCAGCACAUUUUGCGUUCAGAUCAAUGUACUCUAGCAUCCAAGAAGCCUUAUUUAACGCUCUUGACCUCGGAUCAGGUAGGGAUACCCGCUGAA
rnacentral:rRNA from 1 species